CCUACGGGUGGCAGCAGUGGGGAAUAUUGCACAAUGGGGGAAACCCUGAUGCAGCAACGCCGCGUGAAGGAAGACGGUUUUCGGAUUGUAAACUACUGUCCUUCGUGAAGAAGGAUGACGGUAGCUAAACAUCAAGCAACGGCGAACUACGGGCCAGCAGCCCCGGUAAUACGGAGGGCGCAAGCGUUGGGCGGAAUGACUGGGCGUAAAGGGAUCGCAGGCGGGAGGCCGAGUCAGCUGUGAAAACUACGGGCUUAACUUGUGGACUGCAGUUGAUACUGGUCUGCUUGAGUGAAGUAGAGGUUGGUAGAAUUCCGAGUGUAGCGGUGAAAUGCGUAGAGAUGUGGAGGAAUACCGGUGGCGAAGGCGGCCCCCUGGGCAUAAACUGACGCUGAGGUUCGAAAGUGUGGGGAGCAAACAGGAUUAGAUACCCCAGUAGUC
rnacentral:rRNA from 1 species